rnacentral:rRNA from 1 species
CAAUAGCGUAUAUUUAAGUUGUUGCAGUUAAAAAGCUCGUAGUCGGAUUUUGGCUGAGAACGAACGGUCCGCCGUUAGGUGUGCACUGUUUGGUCUCAGCUUCCUGGUGAGGAGGUGUGCUUCACGGCCACUUAGUCACCGUGGUUACUUUGAAAAAAUUAGAGUGUUCAAAGCGGGCUUACGCUUGAAUAUAUUAGCAUGGAAUAACACCAUAGGACUCCUGUCCUAUUUCGUUGGUCUCGGGACGGGAGUAAUGAUUAAGAGGAACAGUUGGGGGCAUUGGUAUUUCAUUGUCAGAGGUGAAAUUCUUGGAUUUAUGAAAGACGAACUUCUGCGAAAGCAUUUGCCAAGGAUGUUUUCAUUA